CCUACGGGAGGCAGCAGUGGGGAAUAUUGGACAAUGGGGGGAACCCUGAUCCAGCCAUGCCGCGUGUGUGAAGAAGGCCCUCGGGUUGUAAAGCACUUUCAGUGAGGAAGAACGCCUGGUGGUUAAUACCCAUCAGGAAAGACAUCACUCACAGAAGAAGCACCGGCUAACUCCGUGCCAGCAGCCGCGGUAAUACGGAGGGUGCGAGCGUUAAUCGGAAUUACUGGGCGUAAAGCGCGCGUAGGUGGCUUGAUAAGCCGGUUGUGAAAGCCCCGGGCUCAACCUGGGAACGGCAUCCGGAACUGUCAAGCUAGAGUGCAGGAGAGGAAGGUAGAAUUCCCGGUGUAGUGGUGAAAUGCGUAGAGAUCGGGAGGAAUACCAGUGGCGAAGGCGGCCUUCUGGACUGACACUGACACUGAGGUGCGAAAGCGUGGGUAGCAAACAGGAUUAGAUACCCCUGUAGUC
rnacentral:rRNA from 1 species